UAACACAUGCAAGUCGAACGGACCUAGCCCGGUAGUAAUAUUGGGCGACGGUUAGUGGCGAACGGGUGAGUAACGCGUGAGCAACCUGCCUUUCAGAGGGGGAUAACAACUGGAAACAGUUGCUAAUACCGCAUAAUGUAUUUAGAUGGCAUCAUUUGGAUACCAAAGGUUAAAUCCGCUGAGAGAUGGGCUCACGUCUGAUUAGCUAGAUGGUAGGGUAAGGGCCUACCAUGGCUGCGAUCAGUAGCCGGUCUGAGAGGAUGAACGGCCACAUUGGGACUGAGACACGGCCCAGACUCCUACGGGAGGCAGCAGUGGGGAAUAUUGGGCAAUGGGCGCAAGCCUGACCCAGCAACGCCGCGUGAAGGAAUAAGGCCUUCGGGUUGUAAACUUCUUUUAUUAGGGACGAAGGAUGUGACGGUACCUAAUGAAUAAGCCACGGCUAACUACGUGCCAGCAGCCGCGGUAAUACGUAGGUGGCRAGCGUUGUCCGGAUUUACUGGGUGUAAAGGGCGCGUAGGCGGGAAUGCAAGUCAGAUGUGAAAUCCAUGGGCUCAACUCAUGAACUGCAUUUGAAACUGUGUUUCUGAGUGAUGGAGAGGCAGGCGGAAUUCCUAGUGUAGCGGUGAAAUGCGUAGAUAUUAGGAGGACACCAGUGGCGAAGGCGGCCUGCUGGACAUCAACCGACGCUGAUGCGCGAAAGCGCGGGGAGCAAACAGGAUUAGAUACCCUGGUAGUCCGCGCCGUAAACGAUGAAUACUAGGUGUGGGGGGACUGACCCCUUCCGUGCCGGAGCAAACGCAAUAAGUAUUCCACCUGGGGACUACGGUCGCAAGACUAAAACUCAAAGGAAUUGACGGGGGCCCACACAAGCAGUGGAUUAUGUGGUUUAAUUCGAAGCAACGCGAGAACCUUACCGGGGUUUGACAUCCGACUAACGAAGCAGAGAUGCAUUAGGUGCCCUUCGGGGAAGUCGAGACAGGUGGUCCAUGGUUGUCGUCAGCUCGUGUCGUGAGAUGUUGGGUUAAGUCCCGCAACGAGCGCAACCCUUGUUGUUAGUUGCUACGUAAGAGCACUCUACGAGACUGCCGUUGACAAAACGGAGGAAGGUGGGGACGACGUCAAUCAUCAUGCCCCUUAUAUCCGGGCUACACACGUAUACAAUGGCGUUUAACAACGGGAAGCGAAGGAGCGAUCCGGAGCGAAUCCCCAAAAGGCGUCUCAGUUCGGAUUGCAGGCUGCACUCGCCUGCAUGAAGUAGGAAUUGCUAGUAAUCGCGGAUCAGCAUGCCGCGGUGAAUACGUUCCCGGGCCUUGUACACACCGCCCGUCACACCAUGAGAGUCGGGAACACCCGAAGUCGGUAGUCUAACCUGAUAAGGAGGGCGCCGCCGAAGGUGGGCUUGAUAAUUAGGGUG
rnacentral:rRNA from 1 species